UGCAAAAAAAGAACACCUGAAGACGAACUCGUUACAGCAAUUAUCGGAUAAAAUUAAGCUAAAGGAUGGAACGUACCGUUAAAGCGCCAGCAUAUGGGGUGCCAUCGUAUCUACCUGUUUCGACUGGGAGGUUAUGGUUAGCUGUUCUGAUUUUGAACAGGCUACUUCGCUCACGCUGAGGCAAAAGUAUCCGUAGGUCAGAAUAGGGAGCACAGUGUGGUCAAAGAGCUUUAUAAUGAGGUCGAUUUGGAGGCUGGCAUUGUUUGCCCUUGUGAAAAGUGA